rnacentral:rRNA from 1 species
GACGAACGCUGGCGGCGUGCUUAACACAUGCAAGUCGAACGCUGAAGCACCAGCUUGCUGGUGUGGAUGAGUGGCGAACGGGUGAGUAAUACGUGAGUAACCUGCCCUUGACUCUGGGAUAAGCCCGGGAAACUGGGUCUAAUACUGGAUGCUACAUGUCACCGCAUGGUGGUGUGUGGAAAGGGUUUACUGGUCUUGGAUGGGCUCACGGCCUAUCAGCUUGUUGGUGAGGUAAUGGCUCACCAAGGCGACGACGGGUAGCCGGCCUGAGAGGGUGACCGGCCACACUGGGACUGAGACACGACCCAGACUCCUACGGGAGGCAGCAGUGGGGAAUAUUGCACAAUGGGCGAAAGCCUGAUGCAGCGACGCCGCGUGAGGGAUGACGGCCUUCGGGUUGUAAACCUCUUUCAGCAGGGAAGAAGCCACAAGUGACAGUACCUGCAGAAGAAGCGCCGGCUAACUACGUG